CUGGACAUACUGUUUUUCCACGCAAUUCUAAAAACUUCCAAGAUGAGUACUCCAGCCGUCUCUGUGAUGGUCUGCCUGAGAGAUGCUCACUGGAGCUGAGAAACGUGAAGUGGGCAAUGUAAAAGAACUGCGCGUCUUCGAGCCGUCGUCCAGGAGUCUCCUGAUGUGUUAAUAUCCAGCAUGUAGUUCUCAGAGAUACUUUUCCACAUGCAGAAGGGUAUCGGUGGAUCAGAAG